rnacentral:rRNA from 1 species
AGAGUUUGAUCCUGGCUCAGGAUGAACGCUAGCUACAGGCUUAACACAUGCAAGUCGAGGGGCAGCAUGAAUAUUGGCUUGCCAAUAUUUGAUGGCGACCGGCGCACGGGUGAGUAACACGUAUCCAACCUUCCGGUUACUCGGGGAUAGGCUUUCGAAAGAAAGAUUAAUACCCGAUGUUGUGUAUCUUUCUCCUGAAAGAUACGCCAAAGGAUUCCGGUAACCGAUGGGGAUGCGUUCCAUUAGGCAGUUGGCGGGGUAACGGCCCACCAAACCUUCGAUGGAUAGGGGUUCUGAGAGGAAGGUCCCCCACAUUGGAACUGAGACACGGUCCAAACUCCUACGGGAGGCAGCAGUGAGGAAUAUUGGUCAAUGGACGGAAGUCUGAACCAGCCAAGUAGCGUGAAGGAUGACUGCCCUCUGGGUUGUAAACUUCUUUUAUACGGGAAUAACAUGAGGUACGCGUACCUUAUUGCAUGUACCGUUAUGAAUAAGCAUCGGCUAACUCCGUGCCAGCAGCCGCGGUAAUACGGAGGAUGCGAGCGUUAUCCGGAUUUAUUGGGUUUAAAGGGAGCGUAGGUGGGAUAUUAAGUCAGCUGUGAAAGUUUGGGGCUCAACCUUAAAAUUGCAGUUGAUACUGGUUUCCUUGAGUACGGUACAGGUGGGCGGAAUUCGUGGUGUAGCGGUGAAAUGCUUAGAUAUCACGAAGAACUCCGAUCGCGAAGGCAGCUCACCGGGCCGGAACUGACACUGAUGCUCGAAAGUGCGGGUAUCAAACAGGAUUAGAUACCCUGGUAGUCCGCACAGUAAACGAUGAAUACUCGCUGUUUGCGAUACACAGUAAGCGGCCAAGCGAAAGCGUUAAGUAUUCCACCUGGGGAGUACGCCGGCAACGGUGAAACUCAAAGGAAUUGACGG